rnacentral:rRNA from 1 species
AACCUCCGCAAUGUGAGAAAUCGCGACGGGGGGAUCCCAAGUGCCAUUCUUAACGGGAUGGCUUUUCAUUAGUGUAAAGAGCUUUUGGAAUAAGGGCUGGGCAAGACCGGUGUCAGCCGCCGCGGUAACACCGGCAGCUCUAGUGGUAGCAGUUUUUAUUGGGCCUAAAGCGUCCGUAGCCGGUUUAAUAAGUCUCUGGUGAAAUCCUGUAGCUUAACUGUGGGAAUUGCUGGAGAUACUAUUAGACUUGAGACCGGGAGAGGUUAGAGGUACUCCCAGGGUAGAGGUGAAAUUCUGUAAUCCUGGGAGGACCGCCUGUUGCGAAGGCGUCUAACUGGAACGGUUCUGACGGUGAGGGACGAAAGUUAGGGGCGCGAACCGGAUUAGAUACCCGGGUAGUCCUAACUGUAAACGAUGCGGACUUGGUGUUGGGGUGGCUUUGAGCUGCUCCAGUGCCGAAGGGAAGCUGUUAAGUCCGCCGCCUGGGAAGUACGGUCGCAAGACUGAAACUUAAAGGAAUG